GCCCAGGUGGCGGAAUUGGUAGACGCGCUGGUCUCAAACACCAGUGGGGCAACCCGUGCCGGUUCGACCCCGGCCCUGGGUACAA
rnacentral:tRNA from 1 species